rnacentral:misc_RNA from 1 species
ACUAUAGCAAGAACAACGUCUCGGUAAUAGUUAUAGUUGAUGCGGUUUUAUAUUAUGUUUCGUUCCAAUGUUACUCCUACCAUACUCCUACUCACUAUAUUACUCAUUAGUCCUUAUAUAUAGUGUCGUUACUCGUUAAGAGUUGCUAUUAUAUAGUAUUACAGUGUGGUUACUGGAUAAUAUUUUAAUAACGACAACUAAUUGAUCGUUGAGCCAUACACAUUACACGCUACGUAUUAUAUUUUUAUAUACGUAACUUUAAACCUCUCAUUAGAAUGAAUCUCGUGCAGCUUUAAUAUUAUUUUUAUUUGAUGAAUCUCAUAUAGUUUCUAGUUUUUAAUAUUAAAAUUAAAAUGUAUUCAUUUGUAUUAAAAUUGAGUGUGAUUACUUACUUGUUCAUCACUGUCUGUGCUAAGUCUAUUCGUGAAGUUGGUUUGCAUGAAGAAUUUCUCGAUGAACGAUACUACAAUACUUCUGAAAUAGCUGAUCUACUCUAUAAAAUUGAAAAACAAAAUCCAACAAUAGCCAGAGUACAUGAAAUCGGUGUAUCAUCAUUAGGCCAGAGUAUUUUAGCUAUUGAAAUAACUUCCAAUGUUGGACAAAGUAGAAGAAUCCUGAAGCCAAUGUUUAAGUACAUAGCAAACAUGCACGGAGAUGAAACUGUUGGCUUGCAACUGUUAUUGUAUUUAGCUCAAUAUUUGACAUCGCUUUAUGGUACGGAUCAUCGUGUAUCUAGAAUUGUGGAUACGACUGAUAUUUUCCUGAUGCCUACACUUAACCCAGAUGGUUAUUCUGCUUCACAGGAAGGUGAUUGCAAUUCUCAAAAAGGCUAUGCAGGUCGAAAUAACGCAAAGGGUGUAGAUCUGAACAGAAAUUUUCCGCAAAUAGAUAAAAAGUCUUUUAAUAUGCAACAACCAGAAACUAGAGCAGUUAUAGACUGGAUUCUUAAUAAUCCAUUUGUGUUGUCAGCAAAUUUUCAUGGUGGUGCUGUUGUAGCCAGCUAUCCUUUUGACAAGUAUUAUUAUAGAAACAUUUCUCAGGGAGGCAAAACACCAGACGAUGCUUUGUUUAGAUAUUUAUCAAUAAAAUAUGCCUCAAAAAAUCCUAAAAUGGCUAAUGGAUCAGCUUGUCAAGAAGAACAUUUUAAAAAUGGUAUUACCAACGGUGCUGAGUGGUAUGAACUUGAAGGUGGAAUGCAAGAUUUUAACUACAUUUAUUCUAACUGUUUUGAAAUUACGAUUGAACUUACCUGCUGUAAAUUCCCAUCUUCAUCGGUGUUGACUAAAGAAUGGGAAUAUAACCGUGAAUCUUUGUUGACUUAUAUGGAGAGUGUUCAUAUGGGAAUUAAAGGGUUGGUCCAAGAUGAAAAUAAUAAUCCAAUUCCAGGGGCUAGUAUACAUAUUUUAGGCAUAAAUCAUACUGUAAAAACUACAAAUAGAGGAGAAUAUUGGAGAUUAUUACUCCCUGGUACAUAUACUAUUUCAGCCAAUGCUCCUGGUUAUAAUGCAUCAGUAUAUCGAAAUAUUAUAGUGAAGAAUGAUACUCUACGUUCUACAACUGUCAACUUUACACUCCAUACAUUAAAACAAUCGUCAGUUGUCGAUUUGACUACAAUAGAGGUGAAGUCCGGAAAGAGAGACAAUGAUGGUUUCCCGAUUCCUGUGACGUUCGAGCACCACAAUUACGAUCGUCUGGUGUCCAAAUUGAACUUGAUUAAUGUCAACUAUCCAAACAUCACCAGACUGUACACUGUGGGCAAAAGUGUGCAAGGGAGAGACUUAUACGUGCUCGAAAUAUCCACGAGUCCCGGACGACACGAACCUGGCAAACCGGAGUUCAAGUACGUGGCUAACAUGCAUGGGAACGAAGCAAUCGGUCGGGAAAUGUUGCUGUUGCUUGCCCAAUACUUGUGCCAGAACUACGGUAUCGAUCAACGCGUCACUCGGUUGGUGGACGGCGUACGGAUACACCUGAUGCCGACGAUGAAUCCAGAUGGAUACGAAAUAUCCAGACAAGGAAUCGAAGACGUGAACGACUUGGUAGGCCGCGACAACGCGAACAGAGUCGACUUGAAUCGCAAUUUUCCGGAUAAUCGACAUUCCUUGCACGUACAGAAACAAGAACCGGAAACCAAAGCAAUUAUCGAAUGGAUUAAAAGCAUUCCGUUCGUUUUAAGCGCCAAUCUACAUGGCGGAGCCCUCGUAGCCAACUAUCCCUUCGACAGCAGCGCGAUUGACGGUAAUCCCAAUCCGCAGGCUUCGUAUACCCCUGACAACGACGUAUUUGUGCUAUUGGCAAAAACAUAUUCCAUGAAUCAUCCAAAAAUGCAUUUAGAUAGCAACAAGUGUGCAAACGAUACGACGUCGUUCAAGGACGGGAUAGUCAACGGUGCCUCGUGGUAUAGCGUGGUUGGUGGCAUGCAAGACUUCAACUACUUAAAUACGAAUUGCUUCGAACUGACGUUUGAACUGGGCUGCACUAAGUUUCCGUUUCAGAAGGAAUUGGAAGAUUACUGGUUGGACAAUCGCGAGUCCCUACUCACGUUCAUGGAACAAGUCAACAGAGGCGUGAAGGGAUUCGUGUUGGAUGAUAAGGGGCACGGUGUACGUAACGCGGAUAUUUCGGUCGUGGGCAUUGAACACCCCGUGAAAUCGGCGAACGAUGGCGAUUACUGGCGAAUAUUGGUGCCGGGAGAUUACGAAAUAUCGGUGAUGGCAUAUGGGUACAAAAAGAAGACUCAGUCCGUCCACGUUUACAAUUCUACGACACCCAGUUGGUUGAACUUCACGUUAAUCAAGGAAAACCUCGAUGAAUGGUCUCAAAUGAACGAUUUUAGUUUGAGAUCGAACGUGAUUAAAAUGAACGAUUACAAUACGAAAGCAAUGUUUCUGAGCAACCUCAAGGAAUUAGAAAAUAGUUUGUCAAAUGUAGCAGAAUUAGUUACAACGCCUAAUUCCUUAGACUACCAUUCGGCGGAAAGUUCAAUAAUUCAAUUUAAAGUCACUGAAAAUGUGGGAUCACCUGACGAAUUCAAGUUCAAAAUUGCCAUUUUGGGUGGAUUGUACGUGAAUGAACCUGCUACUCGUGAGAUAUUAUUAUUUUUGGCUAGACAUUACGUCGAGGGUUACAGAAAAAAAGACAAGGAUAUAGUUUCAUUUUUAUCAAAAGUUGUGCUACAUUUUAUACCCUACUUUGAACAAAAUGAGAAUUCUUACGAAAAAACGUGUUUGACCGACGAUCAAGCAGUAGUUACCUCACCACUAUUGUUAACCACUAACCAACAAGAUGAGCAGAAGACCACUAAUAACUUGUGGAAAAUGUUACAACGUGAACAGUUUGAUAUGAUGUUCAUUCUGGAAGGUGGAUCUAUUUCGAUAAAAGGUCCAACAAUUCAUCCAAGGAACACAAUUUCAAUAAUACUACAGGAUUACGAAGAGUUAUUUUAUAGUAACUUAAAAAACACUUGUGGUGAACCAUUGGAUCGUAAAAUCAAUGAUGUUAAACAAAACGUUUUGGAUACAUUCAACAAUAUAUUAAAAAUCAAAACUAUGGCAUUGCGUUUAACCUGCUGUAACUAUAUUAAUCCGUUGGAAACAGUGUACGUUUGGAUGAAGAGUUAUCACAUGCUCAAAGUCGUCAUAGAAAACAUUCAAGGUAUUCAAGGAUCAGUUGUGGACAAAUUAGGCAAACCUAUUCGUAACGCAAUCGUAUCAAUAAAUAUGUUUGCUGACAUUUACACAGUCACCCCUAAUUCUGCUGUUUUCAAAGCACACUUACCGAUAGGUCAAGGCAACUGGAUAUUUGAUGAAAAGUAUUUCAAUAAGCGUACACCAUGGAACUGUUACCAUUUUUAAAGUUAUUAUGUCACCUGUAGGCCAUGGUUCCGCAAUUCUAGAAUUAAGCACAUUAGUUAAGGGUUCUGUUAUGGAUAUUGAAAAUAGACCAAUAGAGGGUGCAAUCAUAACUGACGAUUCAUCUUCAUCAGUUUCAUCUAGUUAUCAUAAUGGAACUUAUAAAUUAUAUGUCGGAGAAG